rnacentral:sRNA from 1 species
AACAUUUUGAGAAAAAUAGCUUAGCUUAUAGGAUUUAACUUUUCAAUUAUUUUCAUUUAUUAAUUUUAACUCAUUUAAUAUUAAUUUGCAUGAUGUAAAAUUAACUUACGAGAUUACGGCAUAUACAAAAAAUAUAUUUUCAACAAUGUUUGGUUUCUAAAUAUUUUUGUGGAUUGUUU